rnacentral:rRNA from 1 species
UACGGGGGAGGCAAGCGUUGUUCGGAUUUACUGGCGUAAAGGGCGCGUAGGCGGCCACCGCAAGUCAGUUGUGAAAGCUCUGGGCUUAACCCAGAAAGGUCAGCUGAUACUGCGGGGCUAGAGUGCAGAAGGGGCAACUGGAAUUCUCGGUGUAGCGGUGAAAUGCGUAGAUAUCGAGAGGAACACCUGCGGCGAAGGCGGGUUGCUGGGCUGACACUGACGCUGAUGUGCGAAAGCUAGGGGAGCGAACGGG